GUGUCAGUCAUUUUAUUAGAGCAAGAGCAGACGUUUCCGUUCUGGAGGGGACAGAAGGACAAUGAAUGCAAGUUUAGUUUUUACUAUGGAAUUUUACAUGUCCCUGAUAUGUAGACUUAAUUAUGCAGAACAGUGCCCUGGCCGAUUAAUAAAGAGGUCUUCUCUAUUGCUGUGAUACGGCCCCACUUCUGAGAGUCCACACAGGGACAUGGACGGAGGGUCAGAGAGCUCUCGGAAUUCAUCAAAGAUCUUGAUUUCUGUUCUGAACAUGAACAAAUGUGUUACAGGAAUGGAACGGCAAGAGGGUGAGUAAUGACAGAAUUUUUAUUUUUGGGUGAACUAUCCCUUUAAAGGACAGUAUUUUCCAGGUUAUACUAUUAUAGGUUGUCAAAUUGGUUUGACAACAAACAAGAACUGGUUUGUUAAGUGUCAAAGGCCUACAAGACCCAACCAGCUUGACCAAGAUAGUCUUGUGGCGCAGUCAGGUACCCGUUUCUAUCCUAAUGUUCAUACUUUAAUCAGAGGAGCUGUCGAUACCUACUGAUUGAUAAAAGGGUUAUAGCGGAAGGAAGCCAUCUUGAACUCAUAACCCUUCAUUACACAAUGUCAAUGAGAUAGAGGUAAUUAUAGAGGACUGCAGUGGUGAAGCACCAGUUAUCUGCACAAAAAGGCAGAUCUGUGACAGAACUCCAUUUCCCAUCAUCCCUGUCUUCCUCCAGCCUGAAGAGCUUUCUAGCAGCAUCUGUUUCCAGGUCCUUCCUUGAGGUCAAGUUCUCCUUCCUCAAGCAGCAUAAGUGUGGAGUUCCAUUUGACCUUAAUUUAAAUGGCUUUGCUUUAAGGUGUGGAUCCAAGCCCUUGCUCAGGUGUGGACGCUCCAGUAGAUACUUGCUCAGAAUAGAUUAGCACAGUCUCUUGGAGCUUCUCAGCAGGCUGCAGAUAGCCCAAGCAGGUGCGCUCCAUUAAGGCCUGAGAGAGGGCAAUCAGUAGACGAUUGGUAAACCCGGAAGCAAGCAGGUAGGUGCUCACCCAUAGGUGUUCCACAAGGAGGUCUUCAGGAACUCAGAAAUGCUGAAGGAAGCACAAUUGUAGCAGGAUGUGAAAGACAGGGGAGGGAACAUGUUCAAAAUGCACCAACUGUUCAGACAUCCCUCUAAUGCAGGAGUGGGAAGGAGACUUGAAAUACUUGCUGCAGUCUGCAAGCUUCUCCAGAUCCUCCUAGAAGUCCUGUACUCUUGAUUUGUUCUCCAGAAGUCUGACUGUAGGUUAUCAGACCCCUCUUGUACAGCAUCAGAAUCUGCCCGUCUGAACUGAAUCCAGUUUAAACUACCUUUUGAAGCUUGAAUCUUUUCUAAACUUCUUUUCUUUUCAGCCAUGUGCAAAUGAACAUUAAUGCAACAACUAUAACCUGCCAUUGUUUAGCCAUGUUCCCAUUUAGGCAGAAUACUCUAAAUACUUGUACGACUUAAAGGUAUGCCUCUUCCGCUGCAAUUUGAAUGUAGUUCAAAUUCUGUAAUUGGAAACUUUCUUGACUGUCAUUCUAAAAAAAAA